rnacentral:lncRNA from 1 species
UAGUGUAAAGGUGGUGGGUUCAAUCUACAUUACUGAAAGGAAAAUUAUCUACUAUUGGCUGCACAGAACAAGCAGAAUCAGCCCGCUGCAGACAGGCAGGUCUGCCCACGCCCUACCGAGGUCCCCAGUCACGUGGAAUACGCCGAAUCAGCCCGCUACACACAGGAAGGUCUGUGCACGCCCUACCGAGGUCCUGAGUCGCACGGAAGACACACCCGCAUGCCGCUGCAGACAGGCAGCCUGGUUCCACACUACAAAGAUGCAGAGGACACCAGACCACCAGACCAAGAAGCAAAUUGUUUAAGCAAGCUGCCAUCUGGAGAGACACAUGACAAGGAGCUGAGUACUUACCUUCUAUCUUAAUACCACUGUGUGCCGUAGCAAUGAUCAAGGUACAACUGUGGGGAAAAGCAGUUAUUCUUACUUAUGCUAAAUCCAGUUGUUCCCCACGAUGGUCAUGUAAAUCCUGGCACCAGGCACGUGGCAGAAUAAAGUCAGUCAGUGGGAGGUGUUCGCCGGGGAGCAACAGGCGGCCACAAAGCCCCAAACUGUUCCAUCCAUUUUCUUCUAAAAAUACAGGGUUUCUAUUCAUGAAAAACUUUUAUAUUCUCUCGUGAUUUUUCUUACACACACACAAAAAAGCCAAUAU